UGGGGAAUUUUCCGCAAUGGGCGAAAGCCUGGCGGAGCAACGCCGCGUGAGGGAUGAAGGCCUCUGGGCUGUAAACCUCUUUUAUCAAGGAAGAAGAUCUGACGGUACUUGAUGAAUAAGCCACGGCUAAUUCCGUGCCAGCAGCCGCGGUAAUACGGGAGUGGCAAGCGUUAUCCGGAAUUAUUGGGCGUAAAGCGUCCGCAGGCGGUCUGUCAAGUCUGCUGUUAAAGCGUGGAGCUUAACUCCAUUUCGGCAGUGGAAACUGACAGACUAGAGUGUGGUAGGGGCAGAGGGAAUUCCCGGUGUAGCGGUGAAAUGCGUAGAUAUCGGGAAGAACACCAGUGGCGAAGGCGCUCUGCUGGGCCAUAACUGACGCUCAUGGACGAAAGCCAGGGGAGCGAAAGGGAUUAGAUACCCCUGUAGUCCUGGCCGUAAACGAUGAACACUAGGUGUCGGGGGAAUCGACCCCCUCGGUGUCGUAGCCAACGCGUUAAGUGUUCCGCCUGGGGAGUACGCACGCAAGUGUG
rnacentral:rRNA from 1 species